CAGCCGCCGCGGGAAUACGUAGGUGGCAAGCGUUGUCCGGAAUUAUUGGGCGUAAAGGGCUCGCAGGCGGUUUCUUAAGUCUGAUGUGAAGGCCCCCGGCUCAACCGGGGAGGGUCAUUGGAAACUGGGAAACUUGAGUGCAGAAGAGGAGAGUGGAAUUCCACGUGUAGCGGUGAAAUGCGUAGAGAUGUGGAGGAACACCAGUGGCGAAGGCGACUCUCUGGUCUGUAACUGACGCUGAGGAGCGAAAGCGUGGGGAGCGAACAGGAUUAGAUACCCCUGUAGUCCCUGUCUCUUAUAC
rnacentral:rRNA from 1 species